CCUACGGGUGGCAGCAGUGAGGAAUAUUGGUCAAUGGGCGCGAGCCUGAACCAGCCAAGUCGCGUGAGGGAAGACGGUCCUAUGGGUUGUAAACCUCUUUUGUCGGGGAGGAAGCUCCGGCUAACUACGUGCCAGCAGCCGCGGUAAUACGAAGGGAGCGAGCGUUGUCCGGAAUUACUGGGUGUAAAGGGAGCGUAGGCGGGGAUGAAAGUUGGGUGUAAAAACUUCCGGUUCAACUGGUAGUCGCACUCAAAACUGCAGCUCUUGAGUGAAGUAGAGGCAGGCGGAAUUCCUAGUGUAGCGGUGAAAUGCGUAGAUAUUAGGAGGAACACCAGUGGCGAAGGCGGCCUGCUGGGCUUUUACUGACGCUGAGGCUCGAAAGUGUGGGGAGCAAACAGGAUUAGAUACCCCAGUAGUC
rnacentral:rRNA from 1 species